GGUUAAGUGAAUAAGGGCGCACGGUGGAUGCCUUGGCACUAGGAGCCGAUGAAGGACGGGACUAACACCGAUAUGCUUUGGGGAGCUGUAAGUAAGCUAUGAUCCAGAGAUUUCCGAAUGGGGGAACCCAAUAUCUUUUAUAGGAUAUUACUUUUCAGUGAAUACAUAGCUGAUUAGAGGUAGACGCAGAGAACUGAAACAUCUUAGUACCUGCAGGAAGAGAAAGAAAAUUCGAUUCCCUGAGUAGCGGCGAGCGAAACGGGAAGAGCCCAAACCAACAAGCUUGCUUGUUGGGGUUGUAGGACUCCAAUAUGGUAGUCUGUUAGUAUAGUUGAAGGAUUUGGAAAAUUCCGCUAAAGAGGGUGAAAGCCCCGUAGACGAAAUGCUAACAACACCUAGGAGGAUCCUGAGUACGGCGGAACACGAGAAAUUCCGUCGGAAUCCGCGGGGACCAUCCCGCAAGGCUAAAUACUCCCUAGUGACCGAUAGUGAACCAGUACCGUGAGGGAAAGGUGAAAAGCACCCCGGAAGGGGAGUGAAAUAGAUCCUGAAACCGUGUGCCUACAACAAGUCAAAGCUCGUUAAUGAGUGAUGGCGUGCCUUUUGUAGAAUGAACCGGCGAGUUACGAUUGCAUGCGAGGUUAAGUCGAAGAGACGGAGCCGCAGCGAAAGCGAGUCUGAAUAGGGCGAAUGAGUAUGUAGUCGUAGACCCGAAACCAUGUGAUCUACCCAUGUCCAGGUUGAAGGUGCGGUAAAACGCACUGGAGGACCGAACCCACGUACGUUGAAAAGUGCGGGGAUGAGGUGUGGGUAGCGGAGAAAUUCCAAACGAACUUGGAGAUAGCUGGUUCUCUCCGAAAUAGCUUUAGGGCUAGCCUCGGAAUUGAGAAUGAUGGAGGUAGAGCACUGUUUGGACUAGGGGCCCAUCUCGGGUUACCGAAUUCAGAUAAACUCCGAAUGCCAUUCAUUUAUAUCCGGGAGUCAGACUGCGAGUGAUAAGAUCCGUAGUCGAAAGGGAAACAGCCCAGACCACCAGCUAAGGUCCCAAAAUAUAUGUUAAGUGGAAAAGGAUGUGGGGUUGCACAGACAACUAGGAUGUUGGCUUAGAAGCAGCCACCAUUUAAAGAGUGCGUAAUAGCUCACUAGUCGAGUGACCCUGCGCCGAAAAUGUACCGGGGCUAAACAUAUUACCGAAGCUGUGGACUACACCAUUAGGUGUAGUGGUAGGAGAGCGUUCUAAGGGCGUUGAAGGUCGAUCGUGAGGACGGCUGGAGCGCUUAGAAGUGAGAAUGCCGGUAUGAGUAGCGAAAGACAGGUGAGAAUCCUGUCCACCGUAUGACUAAGGUUUCCUGGGGAAGGCUCGUCCGCCCAGGGUUAGUCGGGACCUAAGCCGAGGCCGAUAGGCGUAGGCGAUGGACAACAGGUUGAUAUUCCUGUACCAGUUGUUUUUGUUUGAGCAAUGGAGGGACGCAGUAGGCUAAGGAAUGCAUGCGAUUGGAAGUGCAUGUCCAAGCAAUGAGUCUUGAG
rnacentral:rRNA from 1 species